UCGCUGCUGCACAUCUACUCAGAACAAAUUCUGAUCUUUUUCCGGGUUUUUCCGUGUUCUGCGGUUCUAUUCUUGGACAAUAUUGACCCAACCGAUGAUGCUGUGCGAUGCGCCUCAUAGUAGCCGAGACAACCGAGCUGCAAUUUCAGCAGCUUUCGGUGCUGAAUCUCAGGUGAUGCCAAAAUUUGUUUUGCGGUGCGAUGGUUGGAACUGGAAGAGAAUUUCUUCGAAUUCUGGGAAUCAACUGCGAUGUUCUACAGAUGUUCUAGCUAGCAAACAUCUGAUACCGUCACACGGUGCUACGUUGGCAUAGGGACUUUGGUGUUGUUACUUGGAUGAUCAGGCCAAGUUGAUCGUGCUGCCAAGAACUAGAAGGUAGCUGUCGGUGAUUUCGGUACUCAGGAUGGAUGAAAUAAAA